rnacentral:rRNA from 1 species
AUUAAUAAAUGGGCCACUGGCCGUGGGAAGUAGCGACGGCUGAGAUGCUGGAGUGAAAGAAACCCCACAGAGACGCUGUAAACGAUCCGGGGGGGCCAUCAGGAUUAGGGGGAGUAGGCUGGGGCGAUGCCUCCCGAAACCCCGAAGCUGGUGAGCCCAACCUGACUCGAUUCUUGCACGCGAUCCCACAUUCUUGUUUAAUCUACCUUCGUUGCUUUGGCAGGCCACAGUUGACUGUGUAGGCUCCGGCUUACCGUGCCUGCCAGAGGACCCCAACCCUGCAGUUAGUGAUGUCUGAGUACUAUUUAAUAGUUAAAACUUUCAACAACGGAUCUCUUGGUUCUGGCAUCGAUGAAGAACGCAGCGAAAUGCGAUAAGUAAUGCGAAUUGCAGAAUUCAGUGAGUCAUCGAAUCUUUGAACGCACAUUGCGCCCCUUGGUAUUCCGAGGGGCAUGCCUGUUCGAGCGUCAUUACAACCCUCAAGCCUAGCUUGGUCUUGGGAAUCGCGGUCCCCGCGGCCCCUAAAAUCAGUGGCGGUGCCUGUAGGCUCUACGCGUAGUAAUUUUUCUCGCGAUGGAUCCCUAUACGUGCUCGCCAACAACCCCCAAUUCUUUCAGGUUGACCUCGGAUCAGGUAGGGAUACCCGCUGAACUUAAGCAUAUCAAUAAGCGGAGGAAAAGAAACCAACAGGGAUUACCUCAGUAACGGCGAGUGAAGCGGUAACAGCUCAAAUUUGAAAUCUGGCUCUUUCAGGGUCCGAGUUGUAAUUUGUAGAAGAUGCUUAGGGUGUUGCUCCGGUCUAAGUUCCUUGGAACAGGACGUCAUAGAGGGUGAGAAUCCCGUAUGUGACUGGGUACCUUCGCCCGUGUUAAGCUCUUUCGACGAGUCGAGUUGUUUGGGAAUGCAGCUCAAAAUGGGUGGUAAAUUUCAUCUAAAGCUAAAUAUUGGCCAGAGACCGAUAGCGCACAAGUAGAGUGAUCGAAAGAUGAAAAGCACUUUGGAAAGAGAGUUAAACAGUACGUGAAAUUGUUGAAAGGGAAGCGCUUGCAACCAGACUUGCACGCUGCUGAUCAUCCGGGGUUCUCCCCGGUGCACUCGGUAGCGUUCAGGCCAGUAUCGGUUUCGGUGGUUGGAGAAAGGCCUAGGGAAUGUGGCUCCUCUCGGGGAGUGUUAUAGCCCUAGGUGCCAUGCAGCCUACCGGGACCGAGGACCGCGCUUCGGCUAGGAUACUGGCGUAAUGGUUGUAAGCGACC